GACGAACGCUGGCGGCGCGCCUAACACAUGCAGGUCGAACGAGCGAGAGAGAGCUUGCUUUCUCGAGCGAGUGGCGAACGGGUGAGUAACGCGUGAGGAACCUGCCUCAAAGAGGGGGACAACAGUUGGAAACGACUGCUAAUACCGCAUAAGCCCACGGUGCCGCAUGGCACAGAGGGAAAAGGAGCAAUCCGCUUUGAGAUGGCCUCGCGUCCGAUUAGCUAGUUGGUGAGGUAAUGGCCCACCAAGGCGACGAUCGGUAGCCGGACUGAGAGGUUGAACGGCCACAUUGGGACUGAGACACGGCCCAGACUCCUACGGGAGGCAGCAGUGGGGAAUAUUGCACAAUGGGGGAAACCCUGAUGCAGCGACGCCGCGUGGAGGAAGAAGGUCUUCGGAUUGUAAACUCCUGUUGUUGGGGAAGAUAAUGACGGUACCCAACAAGGAAGUGACGGCUGACUACGUA
rnacentral:rRNA from 1 species